AGUGAACGCUGGCGGUAGGCCUAACACAUGCAAGUCGAACGGCAGCACAGUAAGAGCUUGCUCUUACGGGUGGCGAGUGGCGGACGGGUGAGGAAUACAUCGGAAUCUACUUUUUCGUGGGGGAUAACGUAGGGAAACUUACGCUAAUACUGCAUACGACCUACGGGUGAAAGCAGGGGAUCUUCGGACCUUGCGCGAUUGAAUGAGCCGAUGUCGGAUUAGCUAGUUGGCGGGGUAAAGGCCCACCAAGGCGACGAUCCGUAGCUGGUCUGAGAGGAUGAUCAGCCACACUGGAACUGAGACACGGUCCAGACUCCUACGGGAGGCAGCAGUGGGGAAUAUUGGACAAUGGGCGCAAGCCUGAUCCAGCCAUACCGCGUGGGUGAAGAAGGCCUUCGGGUUGUAAAGCCCUUUUGUUGGGAAAGAAAAGCAGCAGGUUAAUACCCCGCUGUUCUGACGGUACCCAAAGAAUAAACACCGGCUAACUUCGU
rnacentral:rRNA from 1 species